GAGUUUGAUCAUGGCUCAGAUUGAACGCUGGCGGUAGGCUUAACACAUGCAAGUCGUGCGAGAAAGUAUCUUCGGAUAUGAGUAGAGCGGCGGACGGGUGAGUAACGCGUAGGAAUCUACCUAGUAGAAGGGGAUAGCCCGGGGAAACCCGGAUUAAUACCGUAUACCUCCUUCGGGAGAAAGAAGGCCUCUCUUUGAAGCUUUCGCUACUAGAUGAGCCUGCGUAAGAUUAGCUAGUUGGUGAGGUAAUGGCUCACCAAGGCUACGAUCUUUAGCUGGUCUGAGAGGACGAUCAGCCACAUUGGGACUGAGACACGGCCCAGACUCCUACGGGAGGCAGCAGUGGGGAAUAUUGGACAAUGGGCGCAAGCCUGAUCCAGCCAUACCGCGUGUGUGAAGAAGGCCUUCGGGUUGUAAAGCACUUUAAGCAGGGAGAAAAAGUUAUAGGUUAAUACCCUAUGACCUUGAUGUUACCUGCAGAAUAAGCACCGGCUAAUUCCGUGCCAGCAGCCGCGGUAAUACGGAAGGUGCAAGCGUUAAUCGGAAUUACUGGGCGUAAAGCGCGCGUAGGUGGUUUGUUAAGUUGGAUGUGAAAGCCCUGGGCUCAACCUAGGAACUGCAUCCAAAACUAACUCACUAGAGUACGAUAGAGGGAGGUAGAAUUCAUAGUGUAGCGGUGGAAUGCGUAGAUAUUAUGAAGAAUACCAGUGGCGAAAGCGGCCUCCUGGAUCUGUACUGACACUGAGUGCGAAAGCGUGGGUAGCGAACAGGAUUAGAUACCCUGUAGUCCACGCCGUAAACGAUGACAACUAGCUGUUGGGAGACUAUGUCUUUCAGUGCGCAGCUAACGCUUUAAGUUGUCCG
rnacentral:rRNA from 1 species